CAGUCGCCGCGGUAAAACGAAGGGUGCAAGCGUUACUCGGAAUUACUGGGCGUAAAGCGUGCGUAGGUGGUUGUUUAAGUCUGCUGUGAAAGCCCUGGGCUCAACCUGGGAAUUGCAGUGGAUACUGGGCAACUAGAGUAAGGUAGAGGAUAGUGGAAUUUCCGGUGUAGCAGUGAAAUGCGUAGAGAUCGGAAGGAACAUCUGUGGCGAAGGCGACUAUCUGGGCCAUUACUGACACUGAGGCACGAAAGCGUGGGGAGCAAACAGGAUUAGAUACCCCGGUAGUCCCUGUCUCUUAUAC
rnacentral:rRNA from 1 species